rnacentral:rRNA from 1 species
GACGAACGCUGGCGGCGUGCUUAACACAUGCAAGUCGAACGGAGUGGCGAACGGGUGAGUAACACGUGGGUGACCUCCCCUGCACUUCGGGAUAAGCCUGGGAAACUGGGUCUAAUACCGGAUAGUGUGGGAUGGGUCCGCGGCCUAUCAGCUUGUUGGUGGGGUAAUGGCCUACCAAGGCGGCGACGGGUAGCCGGCAUGAGAGGGUGGACGGCCACAUUGGGACUAAGAGAGGGACCAGAGUGCUACGGGGGGCAGCAGGGGGGAAUAUUGCACAAUGGGCGGAAGCCUGAUGAAGCGGCGCCGGGGGGGGAAUGACGGCCUUGGGGUUGUAAACUCCUUUCACCAUCGACGCGGUAGAUGGAGAAGAAGCACCGGCUAACUACGUGCCAGCAGCCGCGGUAAUAC